rnacentral:rRNA from 1 species
CUAGGGGAGGCAGCAGUGGGGAAUAUUGCACAAUGGGCGCAAGCCUGAUGCAGCCAUGCCGCGUGUAUGAAGAAGGCCUUCGGGUUGUAAAGUACUUUCAGCGGGGAGGAAGGCGAUAAGGUUAAUAACCUUGUCGAUUGACGUUACCCGCAGAAGAAGCACCGGCUAACUCCGUGCCAGCAGCCGCGGUAAU